AACUGAGAAUGACUAAAAUUAGUCAAGCUGAGGAAAUUAGAGAAUUAGUCCUUUAAAUUUUUUUGGUCCUAAAAAUUGUGAAAUGCAGUAUGUCACAUGGGG